UUGUUUUUGCAUUCGAACCUUUCCUGGCAUAGGAGGAAAAGCAUCUGCAGCCGCCUGGCCUUGCCUGGAGGCCAGCUCCAGCUUUCACUCGGUCUGGGGCCCUGGGUAAUGAUUACACUGCUUUGCUGGAUCCCAGGCCUCCAAGGACAGGGGUGUGCAGAGAUGAAGGACUCCCCAGCUGCUUAUCAACAUCAAAGGUUCGUUAAUCACACCAUCCCAGGUAAUCAAAGCUCAGUUUCAACCCGCCGGGCCUCACUCUGGCAUUGUGCCCUGUGUAUGCCAACCCGGAGUGGGAGGAGGUGAGGUACUCCUAAAGCCCGUAGGAAGCUGAACACUUCCCGAGUGGAAGCACGCUUGCUUUCCUCUCCCCUGCCUAUCCAAGAAGGGAGACAGAGGCAUCAGACAGCGCAGAGGCUUCUGUGAACUCCCACCACCCUAGUAGGUGCCCCCUUAUUAGGACCGUCUUUGGCAGGGGCAGGUGAUGCCAGGGCCAGGGAACCACUGGCUGCUUUGUGGGGCAGUUGGCGCCAGAGUUGCCAACGCCGUUGCACAAUCUCACUCUGGGCAGAUAUUUGCCAACCUCCUCUGUGUGUCAAGUGUGGCGCUUGCUGUAUGAUCAGGAGACUCGUUUCAAGUCAGGCUACGCUGUACGGCAAUAACCAAGGAGCUUGCCUGGUUGCUGCAUGCUAAUUUCUGAGGAUCAAAAACCUAAGGAUUGAAAGUCACCUCACUCUUAAUCUGGGAAAUACAUUACGCUCUGAUGAACAAGAGCCCCCCUUUUCCGUUCUGUUCAAGUGGAGGUUAAAGAGAGUUGGGGGGUGGAGGCUUUGCUACAGCACAGCACAGCAGUUCAGUGUCCGGUUUGCAGGAUGGACAAGAUGGAUCGGCAGGUAAAGACACUCGCCCUGCUGGCCUGACAACCUGGGACAACCGGAGAACCCCCAGAGCCCGUGUGCUGUAGUCUGAAUGUAACUGGUCCCCGUAAUCUCAGAGGAAGUGGCACUAUUAGGAGGUGUGGCCUUGUAGAAGUAGGUGUGGCCUUGUGGAAGGAGGCGUGGCCUUUUGGAGGAAGAGUGUUGCUGGGGGGGUGUGCUGUGGGAUAUUUUGCUCAAGGUUUGCUCGGUGUGACACCGACCGUUUCCUGUUGCUUACAAGAUGCAGAGCUCUCAGCUACUUCUCCAGCACCACGUCUGCCUGCGUGCCGCCAUGGUCCACCAUGAUGAUAAUGGACGGAACCUCUGAACUUUUGGGAUUCAAGGCGAUGAGAUGGGACUGCCCACAUGCUUCCCGUCUUAGUUGACUCUCCCGGAAGUGGACUCUCACAGACAUGCCCAGGACAACCGUCCUAGGCGGAUGCAGAGCAGAUGGAAGCCUGGCCUUGCCUGUGGAGUGCUCUACAGCCAAAUGAACCACCCACAGCUGAACCCCGAAAGCCUGAGGCUCUGUGAUACCUUGUGCUACAGCAUACUGGAAGGAGCUGAGAAACUGAAGACAGACAGUUCUUAGGGGGUCUGGAUCCUUUGCCUUCCCCUGCCACCUGCUUGAAUAAAGUUGGAAGUUUUCUUUCUCAGAGAUAUUGAGCCCCAAGGGCUCUGGGCAUCACCUCAGAAUACACAGAGGAGAACAGGAAUGGGAUCCAGGACUCUUGCUGGAAAGUCCUCGCUGCUGAUGGUCACUGCAUCCAAGUGUACAUCCUACAGGCAGGAAGGCAAGGAUUUCCCCUGGGAGAACCAGCAGACAGAAAGAAAAGACUGCUUCAGGGUCCCACCCUGAGAAACCCGAACCACCACUAGGUUGCAGCCAACUUGCUUCUCCAGCUCACGAGUCCUCUAGCAAUGCCUGAAAGCAAUCCACAGUCAGGUCUGGGAUCUUAGGAUUCAAUAUGAACAGGCUGCUUUCAGGCAUCAGCAUCUGAAUCAACAUGAAAGAGAUUCGGGUCAUUCAAGUGGGGAAGAGAGAUUUAGUAGAAAUGGGAAUGAUGCAGGCAACAGAAUAAGACCUUGGAAACACACAGAAAAAGAGAACAUUUAAUAUUCUUAGAGAGAUAAGAGAUGUUCAUUCAUCAAAAUGAUGAAUGAUUCAGGGACCAUCAAAGAACAAGAAAAAAGAGCCUAGAGAAGUUAAAAAAUAGAAGAGCUUUUAAAUGAACAAAGUGGGACUACCUCCCAGGAAAUUAACAACAAAAAAGAGGUGUGGCCAAUAGUGAAGUCAUACAAAAUGAAAGCAUUGAUCGGAAGGGCUAACAUUCACUGACAGGGAUUCCAGAGACUAAAAGAGAGGAAAAGUGAAGAAAUGAUACCAGAAAACUUCCUGUGAGUUUGAAAAGAUCCACACCAGUUUCCACCACUUGACAUUUCAAAGUGUGGGCGCAAAGAAGACUCCAAGUAUCUCCUUAGAGAGACAAUUACAGGCUCCAUUCAAAUAGGAAUGGGGAAGACAUGGGACUUCAAGCUGCACCUUUGGGUGCCAGAAGACAAAGGAAGGGAAAUGAUGAUGUGUUUCUGUCUUCAGAGUCGGUUCAUUUAACCAAAAUGAUUAAUGUGUCUGUAUUGAGAGAAUAGAGGGAAGUGAACAGGAAGAAGUGUCAUAGUCUUCUAUGAAGUGAUAUCUGUUGUGGAAUGUUAUUCUGAGAUUCAUUGAGACUUCAACUUCCCUGGACUUUUGUCUGGGCUGGAGAUUGAACACAACUACAGCCAUGUGGCUACUUGGGGCGGAGUGGAGGAGCCUGUCAAAGAUCCAGACACUAGGGAAUCAAGAACAAGAGAAGUUCGAGUGCAUCCUCUUCAUCCAACAUUGUUCUUAAACAAUCAGCAUCAGGACCAUUGAAGAGUCCGGGCACCCCAACUCUACAGGACUACAUCUGGAGACCUCUUGUCCCUCUUGACUUCUUUGAGUGUCACAAAAUUAGACAGAGCCUGAGACCUCAUGACUUCCCACCAUUACCUCCAUUUGAUGGUGCGAGGAAAGAUUUGAGGAGCUAAAGAAGGCCACUUCAUCUCCUAGGCUCAUCCAAGGAGAAAUAGGUCUGGGUCUUGGUCCUGAGCUCCAGAGGACCUGGCCUUACUUAGCUGCCCUGACUUUUGAUUGAACUCAUUUUUCUGAUCUCAUCCUCUGUGGCUAGAGCUUUUAAUGGGAGUGGGAAAAGAAGUGGAUUCCCAGGAUCUUAAUUAAAUUAAUUUUUGUGUCAUUAUGACAAAAUGCCUGAGAGAAAAAAUUUAUGGGAGGAAGAUUUAUUUGGGGUCAUGGUUCAGAAGCUUGAGCUCUGUCAUGUGAGGAAGGCACAGUAGAGUGGGUCCAUGGCAGUGGGAGGGCGUGGCAGAGGCUGGCGGUUCACAUGAUGAUAGACUAGAAAGCAGAGAGCAAGACUGAAACCGGGGCCACCUAUAACCUUUAAAGGCUUAAACCAGGGGCCACCUAUAACCUUUAAAGGCUUAAACCAGGGUCACCUAUAACCUUUAAAGGCUUAAACCAGGGGCCACCUAUAACCUUUCAAGGCUUAACCCAGUGGCCCACUGUAGUUGGAAGUUUUCCUGUGUCCCACCAG